UACUAUUUUUUAAACACUUUUGGUUACAUUUAAAAUCUUUCAACAAUAGUCAAUAACUACUAAUCAACGAUUAUCGAUGGGUUUAAAAAAAUCUAAAUUGCUAUCAAAAAAUAAUUUCUCACAACAACACAUUUUGAUUGUGUGGUCACGUUCACUUCACUUGUAAUUCAGAGUUUGGUUAUAAUUGUUCUUAACAACAUAAUACCGUAUGGAACUAGGAGACCGAGCCGGCCAUUCAAUUCCUCAAGUCUGCCCCACCAUUCAAAAUAAUCAUGACUGAUCUGCCCAGGCCCAUUUUCUCUUCUUUGUCAUUUCCCCAUUGCCCUCAAUCCUCUUGUCUUUCAAAAAAAUCAGUGCAAUCCCUGCACAAGAUCCCUGCGCUGUACUGCAUUUCACAUCCUCCUGAUUCAGCCUGGUGUGACCAUGGGCAUCUUCUUUCACCCUUCUCCCCCACGAUAGAGAGGAGCUGAACACCAGGCUAAACUAGAUCUCAAUUUUAAUAGAGUACAGCUAGACCAUUACAAAAAAAAUCCUGAUACCAAUGCUAUCUUUUCUUUGGAAAGACACCAAUACUGGAGUAACUCAGUGCAUCAAACAGCAUCUCCAGAGAACGUGGAUAGGUGAUGUUUCAGGUCAGGACUCUUCUUCAAACUUUUCUGUGUAUUCUAAAAAAAAUUGAGAUCAUUCACUAUGGUGUACAAACCAAAAAUGCAGAGUAUUGUUAAAAUGGUAUAGUGGGAAACAUUGAAAUUAAAAAAGACCUGGAUGUCCUUGCGUGCAAAGCAUUGAACGCUAACGUCCAGGUGCAGGAAGCAGUUAGGAGGGCAAAUGAUAUGUUGGCUUUUAACAUGGGAUUUGAACACUGAGUAAAGAGGUAUUAGUGUGAUUAUAUAGGAUCUCGAUGAGAUUACAUUCUAGUAUUUUGUCGGAUUUUGCUCUCCUUACUUACAAAAGAUAUGCUUGCUGUAGACCGAGUGCAAUGAAGAUUUAUUGGCCUGGUUCCUGACAAGGUGGGUUUACCACGUGAGGAGAGAUUGGAUAAUUAGGCCUGUGUACUCUGGAGUUUGGAAAAAUGAGAGGAGAUCUCAUUUAAAUUCUCAAAAUCCUCCCAGGGCUUGAUAAGGUGGACUCAGGAUGUUUCAUCCAGCUGAGAAGUUUAGGAAUCACAAUCACAGAAUAACAUAUAGCCCUUUUAGGACCUAGAUAAUGUGAUAUUUUUUCCUCGGUCUUUGGAAUUGUGUAGUCCAUUAUUUUGUGAUGGCUCAGUCAUUGGAUUCAUUUAGAACAUGUCAGAAAUUAUCCGAUAUUAGAAAUGUAUUCAUAUCUUAAUAUUAAGGGAAUCAGGUAAUACAGAGAUUGUCCAGGAAAAUGGCAUUGAUAUAGAAGAUUAGCCACAUUAUUGAUGAAUGGCAGAGCAGGCUCGAAGAGCUAGAUGGACAUCUUGUUAAGUCGGAAUUUUGGUUUUAUGUUCUUAUGAAGGAGAUUAGAAAUCUACAUGCUGGAAUUGCCUGGAAGCAAAUGCAAAGUUAAUCAAUUUUAAUAGGUCAUUUAAUUUAGAUAAUCUAAAAAUUGAUAUCGAUGGAUGAAUCUACCAACUCAAUUUGACACCAUGCUUCUAAGAUGUCACUCUCUAUCCUUAACCAAUGGGUUCCACUCUAUCUUAGUUGCUAGAGGACACAGGGGGGUAAGUUGGGAACCAGUGUAGUAGGUCAGAAAUUGGAAGGAGCGAUGGGAAGGUAGAAGUUAUGACUAGUAGGUCUCAACGGAAUGACAGGCUGGGAAAGGGAAUAUGAUUAAUCUGAGGGGCGGAAGUGUGUUUAUUUCAAUGCAAGUUAUAUUGUGAGAAAUGUAGAUGAACAGAACUUGGAUCGGUGCUUGGGGCCAUGAUAUUCUGACUAUUGCAGAAACGUGGUUGCAAGUCACGACUGGCAGAUCAUUGCUCCAGGCUUUCAAUGUUUCGGAGAUGGUAGAGAGGGAGGGAAAAGAAAUGGAGGAGUUGCUCCUAAUCAGGGAGACUGUCACAGCAGCCACAGAGAGGACAUACUGGAGGAUACGUCUGCUGAGGCGACAUUGGUAGAGCUUAAAAAUAAGAAAGGUGCAAGUACUAUGUGAUUUCCUUAUAGGCCCCCCAAUACCAAGCAGGAGAUUGAGGAACAGAUAUGUAGACAGAUUACCAAUAGAUGUCAAACCAAAAGGAUUGUCUUAAUGGGUGAUUUUAACUUCCCCAGUAUUGACUGGAACUCGUUCAGUGCCAAAGGUUUAGACGGGGCAGAAUUUAGCAGUAUCCAAGCCACUUUCUUGAAGCAAUAUGUGUAUAGCCCAACCCGUGAAGGAAACAUACUGGACCAUGUGUUGAACAAUGAGUGUGGCUAGGUGACUGGGGUAAUGUUUAAAGGAGAUGUGCGCGGUGCAAGUGUUUUUGCACAGAGUGAUCUGUGCCUGCAACCCGCUGCAGACAGUGGUGAUAGUGGCAGAUACUAUAGUGACAUUUAAUAGAUUUGCGUAUAGGCACACAGAAAUGCAGGGAAUGGAGAAAUAUGGUUUAUAUCAGGCAGAUAAGAAUUGGUCAUGACAUCAUUUUGAGCACAGAUAUUAUAGGCCAAGGGUCAAUUUCUGAACUCUACAAUCAAUCUGAAGAAAGGUCUUGACCCGAAACAUCACCUACUCAUGUUCUCCAUAGAUGCUGCCGAACCUGUUGAGUUACUCCAGCACUUUGUGUCUUGUUUGGUAAACCAGCAUCUGCUUUUCCUUGUAUUCACACUCUUCCCUUCCUGAGUUACUCCAGCAUUCUUCGGAGUAAAUCAGCAUCUGCAGUUCCUUCCUACACUACUAUUUUAUGUGUUAUAGUCAAAACUCAAGCUUAAAGAACAUCACUUAAUUAUGCACCAAGAACAAUACGUCAGCACUCUAUACGUUCGUAGACCCAGCCCUUCCAGUUUACCUCCGCCGGGCAAAUUCAAAGGUCACAACGAAUAACAUUUACUAGGUUGUUCACGCUUCACGGAUGCUGCCUGACAUACUGAGUACUUCCAGCAAUAUUUAGAGUUUGUCUUUCAUCAAUUAUUUUGUAAAGGAAGCCUGCACUGGGCGGGGAUCCUUUUCCACAACCCGUGCUACAGAUUCUCACAGGACAUGAGCAACUGGCAGUAGUCAGUAUUGAGUUUGCUCCAAAUCUUUGUUUGUUCGAACAUUAGAAUAACAAUGAAAAAAAUUCGAAAUUGUAAUCAUUCAGCCACCGAUGACUCACCAUCAGGGAAUUCUUCCAUUUCCAUCUGUUCCUCGUCCGAAUCAAAACUACUCAUCCUUGCAAUUUUGUUGGUGAUUUAGCGUGGAGGUUGCUGAAGAACUGCUUGCUGAAGAAGACGCAACAGCUGUUAUUUUAACAAUCAUACUAAUUAUCCCGGUUUCCCGCGGCGACUCGCUCUAAAAAUAGCGCAUUAGCAGCGCAGUUGAUACAAUUUUUGUUAGUUCGUAAAAUGAAUCUACUUUGUUGAGAGACAGGGUCAUGCAAAAUAAAGUUUUCAUUAAAGCUCAAAAUAAGUUUCAUCAGACAACUGUUGACGAACACAAAGUGCUCGUGACUAUAAUACGAAAGAACUGCACCAUCUCAAGAAUUGAGACCAGUGUGUGGGGCGGGAACGUUUUAAAGUUGAAUUUCAAACUAAGAGCGAGUUGUGUGUUAUAAACCGCCACACCUCCGGGAUAUGUACGGAUAACACUGGAAACUAUUACACUGGAAAUUGUAAAUGCAAGAACGAAGAAUAUUACAGAUUGAUGUUAAACGUUUAAAUCUGAAAUGAUUAUAUAAGUAUCAUAGUUGUCUAUUAUGUAGGAUCGUCGCUGGGAUUAAAUUAUAAUAAAGGCAUAUCACUGUCGGUAAUUUAUAUACAAUUAUUGUUCAUUGGGUUAGGAUUGGAUGGCAAGUACAGAGUAUUCCUCACAUGGGCUACUGAUAUUGCUAAUCCGACGCUAAAGAAAACAGACAUCUUGGUUCAAUAAAGCUUU